UCAAAUGCUCAGUUGUUUUUAGGGACCUUACCACUAACUUAGAGAGUUUUUAUAUCAUAGAAACUAAAAUAGGUUGAAAACAAAAACAAAAGCAAAAAUUAUAUCUCUAGGUUAAAAUAGUUUGCAAGAAGUAUGGCUAAUGAAAAUAGGAAGUACAUGCACUACAAAUGAUUUCUAUUUUUACCUCUGUUUUCAUGCCAUCAGGUAUAAUAUUGUAGUGCUGGAAGUUACUAUUGAGUCAAUUUAGGUUUAUUCUUCUGUGAAGCGUGGAAUCAGAUUUUUGAAAAUGUGACUGAAGCAGAAUUGGCUAGUGUUAGAAUUCAGCACUGACAUCAUGCAAAACAUUUCCUGAGCCCCGCCUCCCAUCUUCCGGUCUUCUCAGAAGUCGCUUAGCUCUUUGCUGGUUGUCACACGUCUGGAGGCCAAGCCGUCGCGUACCUAGGAUGCAGCGUGGAAGCCGAAGCCGCACCUCCCACAUGGCCCUUCCGGCCAGCCGGGACCCUCAGAUGAGAGCUGCACCUAGGCCAGCACCAGUAGCUCAGCCACCAGCAGCGGCGCCCCCAUCUGCAGUUGGCUCUUCUGCUGCUGCGCCCCGGCAGCCAGGUCUGAUGGCCCAGAUGGCAACCACUGCAGCUGGCGUGGCUGUGGGCUCUGCUGUGGGGCACACACGGGGUCACGCCAUUACUGGGGGCUUCAGUGGAGGAAGAAAUGCUGAGCCUGCGAGGCCUGACAUCACUUACCAGGAGCCUCAGGGAACCCAGCCGGCACAGCACCAGCAGCCUUGCUUCUAUGAGAUCAGUUUCUGGAGUGUGCCCAGAACCAGGGUGACAUCAAGCUCUGUAAGGGUUUCAAUGAGGUGCUGAAACAGUGCCGACUUGCAAACGGAUUGGCCUAAUCAAGAAGUUCAACCUGGAGAGAUGGAAAAUCAGCUCUCAUAACUAAGUUAAUUUAGUAUAAAAAUAGAAUUGAUAGUGAGGGUACAAAGUG